AUAAUUUGAACAUAAUUCCAAAUAUGCACAAUUUAAAACUAGUAAACAACAUGAACACGGAUGGUAUUAAUUUAUUUAACGAAAAUGAGUUAAAUAACCUGAACAGUUCAGAUAAUAUAAACAAAACUCAUAUUCCGAACAUUGCAGGCGAAGUAAACGGUAUGGUGAACGAUGUAAACGGUUCCUACAAUAUAAACCAAUACAAACCUCACUUUAAUUAUAUGCACAAAAAUAACGAGUACAACACUUUGCAAGAAUGUAACAAUUUAAAUAUUCAUAACAACAUAAACGAAAUAUAUACUGCUACUAAUAAUACCGACAUACUCAACACAAACGUGAUUCCUACUAUAAAUAAUAUAAAAAGAUCUUUAUCACACAAUAUUAAUGUUUUUAAUAGGACACCAACAAAUGUGAAUAUAAAACAAGAAAUGAACAAAGUAAAUAAUAGUGAUAGUGUUAACAAUCGUGACUGUAAUAAUAACAGAUUAAACAAAAGUAAUUAUAUAUUUAGUAAUGUAAAAAAUACACCAAAUGGAAUUUAUUACAUGAUACAUAGUCCAACCCAACACACAAAUGAUAUUAUUUCGAAUACAUCGACACCUGUUCAUAAUAAUAUGAGUAAUGAAAAACAUGUUAUUGUUUAUAAUGAUAAUAUUCUUAACGAAAUGAAUACUGAUGUUGCUGUUGCUGAUGUAACAGAUAAUGUUGAUACUACUGGUAAUACNNNNNNNNNNAUAAAUAAUAACAUAAACACAAGUAAUAUGUAUAAUUUGAACAUAAUUCCAAAUAUGCACAAUUUAAAACUAGUAAACAACAUGAACACGGAUGGUAUUAAUUUAUUUAACGAAAAUGAGUUAAAUAACCUGAACAGUUCAGAUAAUAUAAACAAAACUCAUAUUCCGAACAUUGCAGGCGAAGUAAACGGUAUGGUGAACGAUGUAAACGGUUCCUACAAUAUAAACCAAUACAAACCUCACUUUAAUUAUAUGCACAAAAAUAACGAGUACAACACUUUGCAAGAAUGUAACAAUUUAAAUAUUCAUAACAACAUAAACGAAAUAUAUACUGCUACUAAUAAUACCGACAUACUCAACACAAACGUGAUUCCUACUAUAAAUAAUAUAAAAAGAUCUUUAUCACACAAUAUUAAUGUUUUUAAUAGGACACCAACAAAUGUGAAUAUAAAACAAGAAAUGAACAAAGUAAAUAAUAGUGAUAGUGUUAACAAUCGUGACUGUAAUAAUAACAGAUUAAACAAAAGUAAUUAUAUAUUUAGUAAUGUAAAAAAUACACCAAAUGGAAUUUAUUACAUGAUACAUAGUCCAACCCAACACACAAAUGAUAUUAUUUCGAAUACAUCGACACCUGUUCAUAAUAAUAUGAGUAAUGAAAAACAUGUUAUUGUUUAUAAUGAUAAUAUUCUUAACGAAAUGAAUACUGAUGUUGCUGUUGCUGAUGUAACAGAUAAU
rnacentral:lncRNA from 1 species